CGGCGGACGUUACACCCCCCUCCUUAAGAUGGUAAAUAGCGGGUGAAGCACGUUAUUUACAUAUACAUAUUAAACACGGCAGGUUAUAGUAUAUUCGAUAUUGACUGAGCGAUGGAUAAGCAGAAAGUUCACGCACUAGCAGCAAGUGACAGUUUAUAGGUUAGAUCGUCCAUUUAGCACAAGGAGUCUCACCACAGAAUUCACGCACGAUCACAGGCACCAGGUUCAAUCAUGGAACUCUCUGCAGUUGGAGCAUCGUGGGCGUUCGAGGUUGCUGCAGCCGAUAGGAAUUGCAGGGGCAGAUGCAGUUCUCUCGAGGUCGUCCGUGUUGAUAGCCAAAGUCGGAUACAGGGGGUCAACAGAUUGGGUCG